AGAAUUCCACGUGUAGCAGUGAAAUGCGUAGAUAUGUGGAGGAACACCGAUGGCGAAGGCAGCCCCCUGGGUCAAGAUUGACGCUCAUGCACGAAAGCGUGGGGAGCAAACAGGAUUAGAUACCCUGGUAGUCCACGCCCUAAACGAUGUCUACUAGUUGUCGGGUCUUAAUUGACUUGGUAACGCAGCUAACGCGUGAAGUAGACCGCCUGGGGAGUACGGUCGCAAGAUUAAAACUCAAAGGAAUUGACGGGGACCCGCACAAGCGGUGGAUGAUGUGGAUUAAUUCGAUGCAACGCGAAAAACCUUACCUACCCUUGACAUGGCUGGAAU
rnacentral:rRNA from 1 species